GGAUAAGAAGGAUAACAAGAAGGUAAUAUUGCCACACUUACUGUACCAACAUCAGCCUCUUGGGUGAUCAGAAAGAUUCUGGACAGUAGAACUAUGGUACUGGAGAAUACUCACCUACAAGGUGAUCUUACUUGUAGAUUACAAAGUGUAUGCAAGUUGAAUAAAUUUCAUAUCCACAAACUGUAUCUCACUAUGCUGCCUGAUGGUACUGGAGAAUACUCAGCUACAAGGUGAUCUUACUUGUAGAUUACAAAGUGUAUGCAGGUUGAAUAAAUUUCAUAUUCACAAACUGUAUCCCACUAUGCUGCCUAAUUUCACUAAGGUUGCAUGGAAGAACUUACUGCUUAUUACUAAUGUACUACCUAAGCAUAAGUUUACUGUUUGGCUGGCUGCUCAUCAUAGGCUUC
rnacentral:lncRNA from 1 species